GUAGCUCAGUGGUAGAGCAUCCGCUCUGCAUACAGAAGGCCGCAGGUUCAAUCCCUGGCAUCUCCG